CUGGCUCGCCACUCGGAGCCACAAAUGGCCUCCACUAAGAGUUCCUCGUUUUUCUUUUCCUAGAAAACUUUCUCCAAUCUGCCAGAGGCUCUGAGCAAUGAGCUUGACUGGCCCCAGCUCUCGGGGACGACAGGAUUUCUGAAUUCCACCAGCGGGUUUCCGGGGCGCUCCAUUUAUCUCCGCCUGCGGCACAGGAACCGCUGCAAUCACCGGGACUACCAGAACAUCUCCAAAAAUGGGGCGUCUUCCAAAAACCUCCUGAAGUUCAUGGGAAGGUGAGUGCUCGGCGGCCAAGCGCAGCCAAGGUUUCCCAAUUGCUUUUCUGAAUCUGAACACAGAGUGAAACGAUGCCCAACGGCAGGCCAAGCUGAAGCGUCCCACAGUUAAGUGUCAGGGGGCGGGGGGGGGGGGGGCAAAUUAGGGUUAGAGGAAGGCCCGGGCCAGACUGGCCACAGCCACCCGGAGGAAUUGGCACAGAUGCCU
rnacentral:lncRNA from 1 species